ACAGCAGCAGCCGCGGUAAUACAAAGGGGGCUAGCGUUGUUCGGAAUUACUGGGCGUAAAGCGCACGUAGGCGGACAUUUAAGUCAGGGGUGAAAUCCCGGGGCUCAACCCCGGAACUGCCUUUGAUACUGGGUGUCUAGAGUAUGGAAGAGGUGAGUGGAAUUCCGAGUGUAGAGGUGAAAUUCGUAGAUAUUCGGAGGAACACCAGUGGCGAAGGCGGCUCACUGGUCCAUUACUGACGCUGAGGUGCGAAAGCGUGGGAGCAAACAGGAUUAGAUACCCGCGUAGUCCCUGUCUCUUAUACA
rnacentral:rRNA from 1 species